GGGCCCGUAGCUCAGCCAGGUGGAGCACCCGGCUCAUAACCGGGGGGUCCCGGGUUCGAAUCCCGGCGGGCCCACCA
rnacentral:tRNA from 5 species